rfam:Oryza glaberrima chromosome 1 Oglab01_0055_33, whole genome shotgun sequence.
UUUAAUUACAACCAUAAGUUUCCAUGCCUAACUUUAAUCGUCCGUCUUAUUUGAAAUUUUUUUAUAAUUAGUAUUUUUGUUGUUAUGAGAUGAUAAAGCAUGAAUAGUACUAUACUCGUGACUUAUGUUUUUAUAUUGUUUUUUCAAAAAUUUUUUAAAUAAGACGGAUAAUCAAAGUUAGACGCGGAAAACCAUAGCUACACUUAAA